UACGGGGGGAGCAAGCGUUGUUCGGAUUUACUGGGCGUAAAGGGUGCGUAGGCGGGUCUUUAAGGCAGGGGUGAAAUCCUGGAGCUCAACUCCAGAACUGCCUUUGAUACUGAAGGUCUUGAGUUCGGGAGAGGUGAGUGGAACUGCGAGUGUAGAGGUGAAAUUCGUAGAUAUUCGCAAGAACACCAGUGGCGAAGGCGGCUCACUGGCCCGGUACUGACGCUGAGGUGCGAAAGCGUGGGGAGCAAACAGG
rnacentral:rRNA from 1 species